rnacentral:rRNA from 1 species
UGAGGAAUCUGUCCAUCGGCGGGGGAUAGCCGGCCCAACGGCCGGGUAAUACCGCGUACGUCGGCGGGAGCGCAUGCUCCUGCCGGGAAAGCAGCAAUGCACCGAUGGAGGAUCUCGCGGCCUAUCAGCUUGUUGGUGAGGUCACGGCUCACCAAGGCGACGACGGGUAGCCGGCCUGAGAGGGUGACCGGCCACACUGGGACUGAGACACGGCCCAGACUCCGUAGGAG